CAGAGACAACGUUGCUUAUAGACACAUGUCAAACAUUCACCAUUCUUCCUCUCUCUCUCGAUGAAAUCGUCUUCUCUCCUUCUCUCGUGCUCGACGACUCCGACCAAAAAAAUCUCUCCUUUUGCAUAGAUUUGCUCUUCGUUUCCCCUCUUUGAGUCCGUUCAACGAUCACGCUAGAGAGUCAGUCAUCAUCAAGAUUGGUGUCUCCUCUCCAUCUCGAUUCAGUCGAUGAUUCCGGGUCUCGUCCUUGAUCUUUCGGUGGUCGGCGCCUCUGUCGAUGUCUCUCUGGUGGUUGUCGUUAACAAAUCCGCCUAUCAUUUGUGAUCUCUCCUCGACAUAGAGAAUCACUCGGCGUCUCUUUCGGAGUCUCUCCUCAACGACUCCGCCUAUGUUCCUUCAUCGACGAUUAAACCAUCCCUCUCUCUCUCGACGGUUCUCCUCGACGGUCGGUGGAAUCGAAUUGAAAGAUUUUCCUGGUCAUCGUUCAAUCUCUUUAUGAUUCAUGCCUCUGGAUUGUGUGCUUUACUUGACGUAUAUGGGGCUUUGCAAGAUGCUUGAGCCUAACCGUGAGAGCUUUAACUAUGGUGGUAACUGGAUAUUAACAGGACUACAGUUUUCGACUGAUGCAAAGUUCAAACAGACACGGGCCAUACUUGUAUAAAGUCUAGACUUGUGUAGUCAGAGUCUUCUGUCUAUAUCUUCUCUCAUGUGUAUUCACUUUUGUAAUCUUGUGUAUUCACUUGUUUACUAGUAACUUGUGUACUCUCAUUCUCUAUAUAAAAUUUGUGAUCAUCACUUUUGUUAAAAAUGUUAAAAAAAAUUAAGCAACCUAAAAUAAG